rnacentral:rRNA from 1 species
UACGUAGGGUGCAAGCGUUGUCCGGAAUUAUUGGGCGUAAAGAGUUCGUAGGCGGUUUGUCGCGUCCGUUGUGAAAGCUUGGGGCUCAACCCCAAGUCUGCAGUGGAUACGGGCAGACUAGAGUUCGGCAGGGGAGACUGGAAUUCCAGGUGUAGCGGUGAAAUGACGUAGAUAUCUGGAGGAACACCGGUGGCGAAGGCG